rnacentral:snRNA from 1 species
AGAUGUGAGGGCGAGCUGGCUGUGACAUAUGUCACCUCAUUGAUCGCCACGGUUGAUUCGUCUUAUCUGUCUGGCUAGGCGGGUGUCCUCUUCCUCCCUCACCACUCUGUGUGCAUCCCUUGGGAAGAUUUGCGCGCUCGGUGGAAGAGGACGACCAUCCGUGAUAGUUCUCGGUCAAGGGUAUACAAGUAGCUGCGCUCCCCUGCUGGAAUCUCCAAACAAGCUCGCAAUAAAUGGGUUUUAAGUCACUACAUUGGAGGUAAUUUGUUACAGCAGCAAAAGAAAACUAAUAUGAAGUCUGUUUUAAAGAAAGCUGGGAGAGUUU